rnacentral:rRNA from 1 species
AUGUCGUCUGAGUACUAUUAUAAUAGUUUAAUACUUUCUACAACGGAUCUCUUGGUUCUGGCAUCGAUGAAGAACGCAGCGAAAUGCGAUAAGUAAUGUGAAUUGCAGAAUUCAGUGAAUCAUCGAAUCUUUGACGCACAUGCGCCCCUUGGUAUUCC